GUGGGGAAUCUUGCGCAAUGGACGAAAGUCUGACGCAGCGACGCCGCGUGAGUGAUGAAGGCCUUAGGGUCGUAAAGCUCUGUUGAAUGGGAAGAAAAAAAUGACGGUACCAUUCGAGGAAGGACCGGCUAACUUCGUGCCAGCAGCCGCGGUAAUACGAGGGGUCCUAGCGUUGUUCGGAAUCAUUGGGCGUAAAGGGUGUGUAGGUGGCCAUGUAAGUCAGGUGUGAAAGCCCCGGGCUCAACCCGGGAAGUGCACUUGAUACUGCGUGGCUUGAGUACCGAAGAGGGUAGUGGAAUUCCAGGUGUAGUGGUGAAAUACGUAGAUAUCUGGAGGAACACCGGUGGCGAAGGCGGCUACCUGGUCGAGUACUGACACUGAGACACGAAAGCAUGGGGAUCAAACAGGAUUAGAAACCCGAGUAGUCC
rnacentral:rRNA from 1 species